CGGGGUGAGUAACGCGUGGAUAACCUGCCUCACACUGGGGGAUAACAGUUAGAAAUGACUGCUAAUACCGCAUAAGCGCACAGUACCGCAUGGUACAGUGUGAAAAACUCCGGUGGUGUGAGAUGGAUCCGCGUCUGAUUAGCCAGUUGGCGGGGUAACGGCCCACCAAAGCGACGAUCAGUAGCCGACCUGAGAGGGUGACCGGCCACAUUGGGACUGAGACACGGCCAA
rnacentral:rRNA from 1 species